rnacentral:rRNA from 1 species
UGGGGAAUCUUCCGCAAUGGACGAAAGUCUGACGGAGCAACGCCGCGUGAGUGAAGAAGGCCUUCGGGUUGUAAAGCUCUGUUAUUCGGGAAGAACGAUUCGUUUGUGAACAAUGAACGGAAGUGACGGUACCGAAAGAGAAAGCCACGGCUAACUACGUGCCAGCAGCCGCGGUAAUACGUAGGUGGCAAGCGUUGUCCGGAAUUAUUGGGCGUAAAGAGCGCGUAGGCGGUAUGAUAAGUCUGUCUUAGAAGUGCGGGGCUUAACCCGGUGAGGGGACAGAGACUGUCAUACUAGAGUCGCGGAGAGGAAAGCGGAAUUCCUAGUGUAGCGGUGAAAUGCGUAGAGAUUAGGAAGAACACCGGUGGCGAAGGCGGCUUUCUGGACGAGCACUGACGCUGAGGCGCGAAAGCGUGGGGAGCGAACAGG